rnacentral:misc_RNA from 1 species
GAUGAAGAACGUAGCGAAAUGCGAUACGUAAUGUGAAUUGCAGAAUUCAGUGAAUCAUCGAGUCUUUGAACGCACAUUGCGCCCCCUGGUAUUCCGGGGGGCAUGCCUGUCCGAGCGUCAUUGCUGCCCUCAAGCACGGCUUGUGUGUUGGGCCUCCGUCCUCCUCCCGGGGGACGGGCCCGAAAGGCAGCGGCGGCACCGAGUCCGGUCCUCGAGCGUAUGGGGCUUUGUCACCCGCUCUGUAGGCCCGGCCGGCGCCAGCCGACAACCAAUCAUCCUUUUUUCAGGUUGACCUCGGAUCAGGUAGGGAUACCCGCUGAACUUAAGCAUAUCAAUAAGCGGAGGA